rnacentral:rRNA from 1 species
GACGAAAGUCUGACGGAGCAACGCCGCGUGAGUGAAGAAGGUUUUCGGAUCGUAAAACUCUGUUUUCAGGGACGAAUGUGUGGAUUGUAAAUAAUGAUCCAUAAUGACGGUACCUGACAAGAAAGCCACGGCUAACUACGUGCCAGCAGCCGCGGUAAUACGUAGGUGGCAAGCGUUGUCCGGAAUUAUUGGGCGUAAAGCGCGCGCAGGUGGGAUAAUCAGUCUGAUGUUAAAGUUCGGGGCUUAACCCCGUGAAGCAUUGGAUACUGUUAUUCUUGAGUGCAGGAGAGGAAAGUGGAAUUCCUAGUGUAGCGGUGAAAUGCGUAGAUAUUAGGAGGAACACCAGUGGCGAAGGCGACUUUCUGGACUGUGUCUGACACUGAGGCGCGAAAGCCAGGGUAGUGAACGGGAUUAGAUACCCCGGUAAUCCUGGCCGUAAACGAUGGGUACUAGGUGUUGGGGGUAUCGACCCCUCCAGUGCCGGAGUUAACGCAAUAAGUACCCCGCCUGGGGAGU